rnacentral:rRNA from 1 species
UACAGAGGGGGCAAGCGUUAUUCGGAAUUAUUGGGUGUAAAGGGCGCGUAGGCGGCUUGGCAAGUGGAUGGUGAAAUCCCUCGGCUUAACCGAGGAACUGCCGUCCAAACUGCUUUGCUUGAGGCCGGGAGAGGCGAGUGGAAUUCCCAGUGUAGCGGUGAAAUGCGUAGAUAUCGGAAGGAACACCAGUGGCGAAAGCGGCUUCCUGGUCCAGCACCGACGUUCAGGCACGAAAGCGUGGGGAGCAAACAGG